rnacentral:rRNA from 1 species
GACGAACGCUGGCGGCGUGCUUAACACAUGCAAGUCGAACGGAAAGGCCCGGCUUUUUUGGGGUGCUCGAGUUGCGAACGGGGGAGUAACACGUGAGUUACCUGCCCUUGACUUUGGGGUAACUUCAUGAAACUUGGGCUAAUACCGGAUAGGAGUUCCUGCUGCAUGGUGGGGGUUGGAAAGUUUCGGCGGUUGGGGGUGGACACGCGUCUUAUCGGGUUGUUGGUGGGGUAGUGGGUUACGAUGGCUUUGACGAGUAGCCGGCCUGCGAGGGUGAGCGGCAACAUCGGGACUGAGAUACGGACAAGACCCAGACGCGAGGCAGAAGUAGGGAAGGUUGAACAAUGGGAGGAAGCCAGAUGCAGAAACGCCGCGUGCGGGAUAAUGACCUUCGGGUUGUAAACGGAUUUCGCCUGUGCCGAAGAGUGAGUGACGGUAAUGGGUAAAGAAGCACCGGCUAACUACGUG